rfam:Thermocladium sp. ECH_B, whole genome shotgun sequence.
UGACCCGGCCAUAGGCGAGGCGGAACCACCCGGUCUCAUCGGAACCCGGAAGUGAAACGCCUCGCCGCGGCGCCGAGUACUGGAAUCCGAAAGGUUCCGGGAAAAGCCCGUGCUGGGAGGC